rnacentral:rRNA from 1 species
AAUCCAUAGGUUAAUGAGGCGAACCGGGGGAACUGAAACAUCUAAGUACCCCGAGGAAAAGAAAUCAACCGAGAUUCCCCCAGUAGCGGCGAGCGAACGGGGAGGAGCCCAGAGCCUGAAUCAGCAUGUGUGUUAGUGGAAGCGUCUGGAAAGGCGCGCGAUACAGGGUGACAGCCCCGUACACAAAAGCGCAUGUGCUGUGAGCUCGAUGAGUAGGGCGGGACACGUGGUAUCCUGUCUGAAUAUGGGGGGACCAUCCUCCAAGGCUAAAUACUCCUGACUGACCGAUAGUGAACCAGUACCGUGAGGGAAAGGCGAAAAGAACCCCGGCGAGGGGAGUGAAAAAGAACCUGAAACCGUGUACGUACAAGCAGUGGGAGCACCCUUUGGGGUGUGACUGCGUACCUUUUGUAUAAUGGGUCAGCGACUUAUAUUCUGUAGCAAGGUUAACCGUAUAGGGGAGCCGGAGGGAAACCGAGUCUUAACCGGGCGUUAAGUUGCAGGGUAUAGACCCGAAACCCGGUGAUCUAGCCAUGGGCAGGUUGAAGGUUGGGUAACACUAACUGGAGGACCGAACCGACUAAUGUUGAAAAAUUAGCGGAUGACCUGUGGCUGGGGGUGAAAGGCCAAUCAAACCGGGAGAUAGCUGGUUCUCCCCGAAAGCUAUUUAGGUAGCGCCUCGUGAAUUCAUCUCCGGGGGUAGAGCACUGUUUCGGCUAGGGGGCCAUCCCGGCUUACCAACCCGAUGCAAACUGCGAAUACCGGAGAAUGUUAUCACGGGAGACACACGGCGGGUGCUAACGUCCGUCGUGAAGAGGGAAACAACCCAGACCGCCAGCUAAGGUCCCAAAGUCAUGGUUAAG